rnacentral:rRNA from 1 species
UACGAAGGGGGCUAGCGUUGUUCGGAAUUACUGGGCGUAAAGCGUGCGUAGACGGUUACAUAAGUCGGGUGUGAAAGCCCCGGGCUCAACCUGGGAACCGCGCUUGAGACUGGCAUGCUCGAGUUCGGGAGAGGAUGGUGGAAUUCCCAGUGUAGAGGUGAAAUUCGUAGAUAUUGGGAAGAACACCGAUGGCGAAGGCAGCCAUCUGGACCGACACUGACGCUGAGGCGCGAAAGCGUGGGGAGCAAACAGG